CAAAGAACGCAAAAAAAAAAAACAAAAGGGGAGGUUCCCCUUCUCUGCCGGAGUUCCAAGGCCAUGGAACAGUGAACGAAAAAACUUUGGCCCCUCCCUAAACCCCAUCCGGCGACGACGAAAGACCAUCGACGGCGGGCCUAAGGGCUGAUUCGGGUGCACUCCCUCCUCUUUUUUUUAUUUAUUUUCCUUAUUAAAAUGAAGUUGUAAAAAGAAAAAGAUAGAAAUAAAAUUAAAAUGAAAAUAAAACGAAUAGAAAACAGUAAAGGUUUAACCUUUUUGAACUUUUAUUUUUGCUAUUUUGAUUUCUGAUGUGCGUUUUUUUUACAAAGAAAAAUCGAAGAAGAACGAUGCAAGAAAACGUUCGGCCUUUAUAGCCAAAAUACAAAAAAUCGAAGAAGAACGAUGCAAGAAAACGUUCGGCCUUUAUAGCCAAAAUACAAAAUCUUUCCGUUCUAUUCUUUGUCGUUUCUUUUUGUCUAUCUCUUCUUUUGUUGUUUUCUUUUUAGUCCGCGUGUCUUCUUCUCCUUGCAGGUGCCCGUGGCCGACAGUGGUGGCAGAGGCGUGCGAGUGGGCGUGGCAGACGAGGAGGCCACGCGAGGCAUGCGGCGCUAGGGUUUGGGGGCAACUUUCUGCCGAAAAUGUUAAUGUUGUCUUGGCUGGGUUUUUAAUUUUUGUUACAACAAGCCAUGGGCUACAUUGGGCUUGUUAUUUUCCUUUGUAAUUGGACUGUCGUUUAUCUUGUUUUAAUAUUCGGGCUUGGGCAUAAAAUUGGGCCUUACAGAAUCCAUCAAAGAAUUUCCUAUAAAAUUUAAGCUUGCCAAACCUAUAAAAUAUCUAACAAAGAAAAUUAAAGUAAAGAAUCAAAAAACAAGAUGCCUUGUUCAACCGAUUCAACUCAACCGCAAUUAAAAAUCCCUAAAGCAAUGGAUUACCAUGACGAGUAUAUGCAAACGAUUUUCUCUCUACAACUCAUCCGAGCCACAACCAAGUCGAUGAAAGUCUGACUCGACGAGUC
rnacentral:lncRNA from 1 species